AAAUUGAAGAGUUUGAUCAUGGCUCAGAUUGAACGCUGGCGGCAGGCCUAACACAUGCAAGUCGAACGGUAACAGGAAGAAGCUUGCUUCUUUGCUGACGAGUGGCGGACGGGUGAGUAAUGUCUGGGAAACUGCCUGAUGGAGGGGGAUAACUACUGGAAACGGUAGCUAAUACCGCAUA
rnacentral:rRNA from 1 species